GGCAUUAUUUAAUUGUUUUGUCAAUUAAUUUAGUAAAACUUCAUAAUAUUCCCUAAAUUAGUUGACUAACCACUAAAAAAUCGCUAUUCUCUAGAAAAACGGAGACAACGAAGGUUUCAAACCUCUUUGACCUUCAUCAUAUGUUAGUGAAGGAUGCAACUAUGCAUUAAAAUAGAAUUUUAAUUUUUUUUUAUUUUUUCUCAAAAUCUAUAGGUUAACC
rnacentral:lncRNA from 1 species